rnacentral:rRNA from 1 species
AUGCAACCUACUGACCUCGAGGUAAUCAAAGUGAAAGCAAGAAACCUAAUCAUCGAGGGGGGAAAGGGAUACAUACACUUUAACUUUCUUGUGAAAAUGCAAGGUGACCCAUCUAGUUUGUUCUUUGCGGAGGUGCAUCCGGAUUGUAGAGAGGAGGAGGAUAUGUAUCUUUGCACCCCUUUGGAAGCUAAUGACUCGGGUAACUGUUAUGGGUGCAAGGACCGUGCAAAAGAGCUUUUGCAUCCCACUACCGGUGGCUACUUGGGUGGGCACAAAGAUGUUGUUUUCCCCUUCAUUUACGAAAGUGAUGAAGAAAGUGAAGAUGAGGCCUGA